AAAAAAAAAAAGGGAAAAAAAUUAAGGCAUUCUCAGAACAAGAUUUAUAGUGGACUCAGUGGAUCACCUGCCUCAGAAUAUCCUCAGAUGUUAGUGUUAAAUGUGAAUUUCUCUGACUUCCUGAAUCUGAAGGAGGGUGAGGGCUGGGAAUCUGCACUUAUUUAACAAGCUUCCAGGUGAUUCCGGCUCACUCUCACGUUUGAUGACCACCACACCUGGUGAGUAGUCUCUAGACUUUUUAUCAUGAAGCACCAGUAUAUGCAUUUUACGUGUUCAUUUCUUUACUUAUAAGUUAGUAAUGCAUAGAUGAUGGUUCUAAUGUGUUGUGUAUAUUAUAAAGUGUUCACAAAAGUAGAAAAUUUGCAAGGAUGAGAAAUCAUGCACAUUAAAGUUUAUGUAUGAGCUUCCCACGCCACGUUUUGGAUGAGAGGGUGAGGGUAAUUCAUGCAGGUGAAAUGUUAUUUAACUGAUCCUCAGGGUGAUUGUUAUGGCACAACACUCAUUUUCUCAAGUUUAUGACUCCAACGUCAAUGGGCAUGAGACAGCAUGAUUUUCUGUAGAGGUUUUAUUUCUGUUUCAGUAGUACCACUGGGCAUUCUCGCUCUGCUUCCCCACAAAAUUCACACUUGGUGCUCAAGAAAGUUGUCAUAUUUACCCUCCUCCCCAACCUGAUGUCCCGAGUGCAAAUUCUAGGUGGGAAACCAAGUGUAGACUGGUCAGUGUGUUGGUAUACAGCCCGGCAAUGCCCAGGUAAUACAUACACACACAUACACACACUCCUGAGGCUGCUUUCAGACUGGAAAGGCUGCAAAAUUGUCUCCUAGGAAACCCUGCCUACAGAAAGUUUUAAAGUUAAUGAUUUGACUCUAAAUCUGGCUCUUAACCUCUCUGGGGUCAUGGGUCUCUUUGAGAAUCUGAUGACAUCUAUGAGCUUUCUCUCCAGGGCAGGGGAAAAAAAUACUCAUCCCACUACAUGUACCAUUUCAGAGGGCGUGAACACUUUGGGAGUUCUUGACGUGUGGAGUCUGAGCCAGCAACAUCAACAUUUCCUGGGAACUUACUUGAGCUGCCCCACGCCCAAACCUACUGAAUCAGAAACUUUGGGGUGGGAAUAAGCCCUCCAGGUAUUUUUGAUGAAUACUCAAGUUUGGGAACACUCCAGAGCCGAAG
rnacentral:lncRNA from 1 species